GGUCGAAUGGCGUAAGGGUAGCGCAUUACUUUCCGGUGGUAAAGGCUCUGGGUUCGAAUCCCAGUUCGAUCG
rnacentral:tRNA from 1 species